GAUGAACGCUGGCGGCGUGCUUAACACAUGCAAGUCGAACGAAGAUGCCGGAGUGCUUGCACUUUGGCAGACUGAGUGGCGGACGGGUGAGUAACGCGUGGGUAACCUGCCUUAUACAGGGGGAUAACAGUUGGAAACGACUGCUAAUACCGCAUAAGCGCACGGUAUCGCAUGAUACAGUGUGAAAAACUCCGGUGGUAUAAGAUGGACCCGCGUCUGAUUAGCUAGUUGGUGAGGUAACGGCCCACCAAGGCGACGAUCAGUAGCCGGACUGAGAGGUUGAACGGCCACAUUGGGACUGAGAUACGGCCCAGACUCCUACGGGAGGCAGCAGUGGGGAAUAUUGGGCAAUGGCGCAAGCCUGACCCAGCAACGCCGCGUGAAGGAGAAGGCUUUCGGGUUGUAAACUUCUUUUAAGAGGAAGAGCAGAAGACUGUACCUCUAGAAUAAGCCACGGCUAACUACGUG
rnacentral:rRNA from 1 species